GCUCCCCUUAAGUCUACAAAGGUUAAAAAACGAACUGAUGGGCCUCCCGAGUGACGCGACCGGGAGACCGCCCAGCAUCGUCGCAGGGAUGUCCUUGUACCAGCGACUCCUGUGGCAAGCCGGGGGCAGUGCACGCUGAAAUCGUCACUAGGGGGUUCCUCCGACACAUUGGUUCGGCUGGCUUCCGGGUUAAGUGGGCAUUGUGUCAAGAAGCAGUGUGGCUUGGUUGGGUUGUGGUUCGGAAGAAACAACCUCGACCUUUGCCUCUCCCGAGUCCGUACGGGAGUUGCAGCGAUGAGACAGGACUGUUGGGGAGAAAAAGGGGUCAAAUACACAAAAUAAAAUACGACCUGAUGGCAGAGUAUAGGUUCUUAAAUUAAUCUUAAGUUUUUUUUUUUUUUACCUUAUAUUAUCCUAAAAGAUCAUACCUUUUAUUUUUAGAGUGUAGACUAGAAAGUUAGCUAACACAUGUUGAUUCCCCCUUGGACACAACUGAUGUGUCUAAUUGACUAUAUGUAUGUGUUUAUCUGUAGAAAUCCUGACUUCUCAGCUGGAUUUUGUGAACACAAACUGGAGUCCAGAUUUUGAAACCAUCAGAAGACAUGCAGUGGAUGUGACUCUAGACCCUGAGUCUGCACAUCGU